rnacentral:rRNA from 1 species
AUUGAACGCUGGCGGCAGGCUUAACACAUGCAAGUCGAACGCCCCGCAAGGGGAGUGGCAGACGGGUGAGUAACGCGUGGGAAUCUACCGUACCCUACGGAACAACAGUUGGAAACGACUGCUAAUACCGUAUACGCCCUUAGGGGGAAAGAUUUAUCGGGGUAUGAUGAGCCCGCGUUGGAUUAGCUAGUUGGUGGGGUAAAGGCCUACCAAGGCGACGAUCCAUAGCUGGUCUGAGAGGAUGAUCAGCCACAUUGGGACUGAGACACGGCCCAAACUCCUACGGGAGGCAGCAGUGGGGAAUAUUGGACAAUGGGCGCAAGCCUGAUCCAGCCAUGCCGCGUGAGUGAUGAAGGUCUUAGGAUUGUAAAGCUCUUUCACCGAUGAAGAUAAUGACGGUAGUCGGAGAAGAAGCCCCGGCUAACUUCGUGCCAGCCGCCGCCGUAA